rnacentral:rRNA from 1 species
CGGCGGACGGGUGAGUAACACGUGGAUAACCUACCUAUAAGACUGGGAUAACUUCGGGAAACCGGAGCUAAUACCGGAUAAUAUUUUAAACCGCAUGGUUCAAAAGUGAAAGACGGUCUUGCUGUCACUUAUAGAUGGAUCCGCGCUGCAUUAGCUAGUUGGUAAGGUAACGGCUUACCAAGGCAACGAUGCAUAGCCGACCUGAGGGGGUGAUCGGCCACACUGGAACUGAGACACGGUCCAG